UACGGGGGGGGCAAGCGUUGUUCGGAAUUAUUGGGCGUAAAGAGCUCGUAGGCGGUCUGUUGCGUCGGCUGUGAAAACCCGGGGCUCAACUCCGGGCCUGCAGUCGAUACGGGCAGACUAGAGUUCGGUAGGGGAGACUGGAAUUCCUGGUGUAGCGGUGAAAUGCGCAGAUAUCAGGAGGAACACCGGUGGCGAAGGCGGGUCUCUGGGCCGAAACUGACGCUGAGGAGCGAAAGCGUGGGGAGCGAACAGG
rnacentral:rRNA from 1 species